rnacentral:rRNA from 1 species
AUGUCUUCUUCAAGCUCCCGCGCCACCUCACGGAUCCAAAGCCCGGCGCACGUGGAGAUGCCGAUCUUCGUCAAUCCGUGGUGCCAGACGGGCAUGCGGAGGGUUUCUCACACACCGAAGAACUAUAAUCGUCCGUUCAACAUGUGCAGCGAGAAUGGGGUGAAAUGUUUCUUCCUUUGGGUCGAUGAUCUGGCCAAGACUCUGAUGAAUGAACUGCAAGAAGAGCAUGAAGAAUGAUUGCCCAUCCUGCCAUGAACAGCAGUGGCCGUAGCACGAGCUCCGCAAGAAGAGACGGAGGGCGGAUCACACAAUGACAGAGAGCUAGCUGUUGAGCUUAGGAGGUUGAACAAGAAGGUUAGGAAGCUCGAAGAUCAAGCACAAAUACCCAUUUGAAAUUACUUUUGGGCAUUUGUAGGUAUGGUAAUCGCACUGGGUGGAAUGUUGAAACUGUAUGGAAAGGCAUGA